GAAAACCCUGUACUAUAUAUAAUGAUUUUCUUUUUUCUAACAAAUGUAUGCCUAAUUUGUCGGUCAGUGUGUGAGUUAUAUAGAGUAUUAGUGUUGGUACGGAUUAAUGCAGUUAAUCAGAAGUUAGUGAAUUGUUGUUAAAUCUCAUUUAAUCCUCAAAAUUUGAGACAGUUAUAGCCCUAGACAGCUGAUAGUGAAAUUUGUUUAGCAAACUGCUAAAUUUUAUGAUGAACUGUGGCACAUUCAUGACCAUCAUGGAGUCUGGAAAUAACAAAAUAAGCCGCAGGAGACCCUGUCAUUGAGCUCGUAUCUCAAGGCAAGGAAUGAGAAGGUCAGGUUUUUCACCGAUUUUAAAAACUUGCGGAAUGAUCCAGUCUUAAAAGCUUAUGUAAAUUCUACAUCUGGAUCUGAUGCAUGGAAAAAUAAUUCAACAUUUCUUUGAAUUUUCCAAUAUUUAUGUUUAUUUAUAAAAACAAUAAUUACUAUUUAUUUUAUGUAUAUCAAGUA